GCAGUCGAACGAUGAAGCCCAGCUUGCUGGGUGGAUUAGUGGCGAACGGGUGAGUAACACGUGAGUAACCUGCCCUUGACUCUGGGAUAAGCCUGGGAAACUGGGUCUAAUACUGGAUAUGACUUCUCACCGCAUGGUGGGGGGUGGAAAGAUUUAUUGGUCUUGGAUGGACUCGCGGCCUAUCAGCUUGUUGGUGAGGUAAUGGCUCACCAAGGCGACGACGGGUAGCCGGCCUGAGAGGGUGACCGGCCACACUGGGACUGAGACACGGCCCAGACUCCUACGGGAGGCAGCAGUGGGGAAUAUUGCACAAUGGGCGCAAGCCUGAUGCAGCGACGCCGCGUGAGGGAUGACGGCCUUCGGGUUGUAAACCUCUUUCAGUAGGGAAGAAGCGAAAGUGACGGUACCUGCAGAAGAAGCGCCGGCUAACUACGUGCCAGCAGCCGCGGUAAUACGUAGGGCGCGAGCGUUAUCCGGAAUUAUUGGGCGUAAAGAGCUCGUAGGCGGUUUGUCGCGUCUGCCGUGAAAGUCCGGGGCUUAACCCCGGAUCUGCGGUGGGUACGGGCAGACUAGAGUGCAGUAGGGGAGACUGGAAUUCCUGGUGUAGCGGUGAAAUGCGCAGAUAUCAGGAGGAACACCGAUGGCGAAGGCAGGUCUCUGGGCUGUAACUGACGCUGAGGAGCGAAAGCAUGGGGAGCGAACAGGAUUAGAUACCCUGGUAGUCCAUGCCGUAAACGUUGGGCACUAGGUGUGGGGGACAUUCCACGUUUUCCGCGCCGUAGCUAACGCAUUAAGUGCCCCGCCUGGGGAGUACGGCCGCAAGGCUAAAACUCAAAGGAAUUGACGGGGGCCCGCACAAGCGGCGGAGCAUGCGGAUUAAUUCGAUGCAACGCGAAGAACCUUACCAAGGCUUGACAUGUUCCUGACCGCCGUAGAGAUACGGUUUCCCCUUUGGGGCAGGUUCACAGGUGGUGCAUGGUUGUCGUCAGCUCGUGUCGUGAGAUGUUGGGUUAAGUCCCGCAACGAGCGCAACCCUCGUUCCAUGUUGCCA
rnacentral:rRNA from 1 species